rnacentral:rRNA from 1 species
GCCUCCUGGUGGGGGCAGUAGGGGGUAAUUUGGCACAGUGGGGAGAACCGAGAAGGCAUGGCGGCGGGAGAGGUAAGGUUUUUUGGAGGGUAAAAAAAUGGCUUAAGGGGGGAAAAAAUGACGGUACCCUAGGAACAAGCCCCGGCUAACUACGUGCCAGCAGCCGCGGUAAUACGUAGGGGGCGAGCGUUGUCCGGAAUUACUGGGCGUAAAGGGCGCGUAGGCGGGUUUAUAAGUCAGAUGUGAAAGACCGCGGCUUAACCCCGGGGUUGCAUUUGAAACUGUAUGUCUUGAGUGCAGGAGAGGAAAGUGGAAUUCCUAGUGUAGCGGUGAAAUGCGUAGAUAUCAGGAGGAACACCAGUGGCGAAGGCGACUUUCUGGACUGUAACUGACGCUGAGCGCGAA